GAUUGCCCCAGUAACGGCGAGUGAAGCGGCAAAAGCUCAAAUUUGAAAUCCUGCGGGAAUUGUAAUUUGAAGGUUUCGUGGUCUGAGUCGGCCGCGCCCAAGUCCAUUGGAACAUGGCGCCUGGGAGGGUGAGAGCCCCGUAUGGCGCACGCCGACUCUUUGCACCGCGGCUCCGACGAGUCGAGUUGUUUGGGAAUGCAGCUCUAAGUGGGUGGUAAAUUCCAUCUAAAGCUAAAUAUUGGCGAGAGACCGAUAGCGAACAAGUACAGUGAUGGAAAGAUGAAAAGCACUUUGAAAAGAGAGUGAAACAGCACGUGAAAUUGUUGAAAGGGAAGGGCUUGCAAGCAGACACGGUUUUACCGGGCCAGCGUCGAAAAGGGGGGAGGAACAAGAACUCGAGAAUGUGGCGCGCACCUUCGGGCGCGCGUGUUAUAGCUCGUGUUGACGCCUCCAUCCCUUUUCGAGGCCUGCGAUUCUAGGACGCUGGCGUAAUGGUUGCAAGCCGCCCGUCUUGAAACACGGACCUCCUGUGUGAAGU
rnacentral:rRNA from 1 species